rnacentral:rRNA from 1 species
GUACACGCUGUGACUAGCAUAUCAAUAAGCGGAGGAAAAGAAACUAACAAGGAUUCCCCCUAGUAACGGCGAGUGAAGCGGGAAGAGCUCAAAUUUGAAAUCUUAAAGGGUUUCCCUUUACGAAUUGUAGUUUAAAGAAGUGUUUUCUGUUGAGGUUUUGGUAAAAGUUCUUUGGAAUAGGACAUCAUAGAGGGGUGAGAAUCCCGUAUUUGACCUUUACUUUCAACUUUGUGAUACACUUUCAAAGAGUCGGAUUGUUUGGGAAUGCAGUCCAAAAUGGGUGGUAAAUUUCAUCUAAAGCUAAAUAUUGGCGAGAGACCGAUAGCGAACAAGUACCGUGAGGGAAAGAUGAAAAGAACUUUGAAAAGAGAGUUAAACAGUACGUGAAAUUGUCAAAAGGGAAGCGUUUGACACCAGUGUUGUUUUUCUGAAAAUCAAUUAAAGAACUGUUUAUGCUAAGCUGUUUAGACUUUAUCAGCUAUCUGUUUAGUUUUGAGCUUUUCUUUAAUGCACUUUUCAGUUAACAAGUCAACAUCAAUUUCUUUUGCUGUAAAAAAGCUUGAGGAAGGUGGCUUGAGAUUCGUCUUAAGUGUUUAUAGCCUCUUGCCUAUGCAGUCGGAGAGAUUGAGGUCUGCAGCGUAGAUCCUUCGGGGCUAAAUGCAUUUGUGCUAAGUUAUAGCAUUUUAUAGACAACUUGUUGACUAUGAUUUGUCUUGUAGCUUACUCGCUUAUGUUAUUUUACCUACGCUUAGGAUGUUGAGUCGUAGAGCACGCAG